rnacentral:rRNA from 1 species
AUACGUAGGUGGCAAGCGUUGUCCGGAUUUAUUGGGCGUAAAGCGAGCGCAGGCGGUUCUUUAAGUCUGAUGUGAAAGCCCCCGGCUCAACCGGGGAGGGUCAUUGGAAAAUGGAGAACUUGAGUGCAGAAGAGGAGAGUGGAAUUCCAUGUGUAGCGGUGAAAUGCGUAGAUAUAUGGAGGAACACCAGUGGCGAAGGCGGCUCUCUGGUCUGUAACUGACGCUGAGGCUCGAAAGCGUGGGGAGCAAACAGGAUUAGAUACCCUGGUAGUCCACGCCGUAAACGAUGAGUGCUAAGUGUUGGAGGGUUUCCGCCCUUCAGUGCUGCAGCUAACGCAUUAAGCACUCCGCCUGGGGAGUACGGCCGCAAGGCUGAAACUCAAAUGAAUUGACGGGG